rnacentral:rRNA from 1 species
CCUACGGGUGGCAGCAGUGAGGAAUAUUGGUCAAUGGGCUUACGCCUGAACCAGCCAAGUCGCGUGAGGGAAGACUGCCCUAUGGGUUGUAAACCUCUUUUGUCAGGGAGCAACGCCGGCUACGUGUAGCCGGACUGAGAGUACCUGAAGAAAAAGCAUCGGCUAACUCCGUGCCAGCAGCCGCGGUAAUACGGGGGAUGCUAGCGUUAUCGGAUUUGAUUGGGUUAAAGGGGUGCGCAGGCGGAAUGCCAAGUCAGCGGUAAAAUCGCGGGGCUCAACCUCGCUCUGCCGUUGAAACUGGCGUUCUUGAGUGGGCGAGAGGUAUGCGGAAUGCGUUGUGUAGCGGUGAAAUGCAUAGAUAUCACGCAGAACUCCGAUUGCGAAGGCAGCAUACCGGCGCCCAACUGACGCUGAGGCACGAAAGCGUGGGUAUCGAACAGGAUUAGAUACCCCAGUAGUC